rnacentral:rRNA from 1 species
UGAGGAAUAUUGCGCAAUGGGGGAAACCCUGACGCAGCAACGCCGCGUGAGUGAGGAAGGUUUUCGGACCGUAAAGCUCUGUCGAGCGGGAAGAAAUGCAUGGUGGCUAAUAUCCAUCAUGCUUGACGGUACCGCUAAAGGAAGCACCGGCUAACUCCGUGCCAGCAGCCGCGGUAAUACGGGGGGUGCGAGCGUUGUUCGGAAUUAUUGGGCGUAAAGAGCGUGUAGGCGGCCGAAUAAGUCGGAUGUGAAAUCCCUGGGCUUAACCCAGGACGUGCAUUUGAAACUGUUCGGCUAGAGUAGGGGAGAGGAAAGUGGAAUUCCUGGUGUAGAGGUGAAAUUCGUAGAUAUCAGGAGGAACACCGGUGGCGAAGGCGACUUUCUGGCCCUAUACUGACGCUGAGACGCGAGAGCGUGGGUAGCAAACAG